UGGGGGAUAUUGCACAAUGGGCGAAAGCCUGAUGCAGCGACGCCGCGUGGGGGAUGAAGGCCUUCGGGUUGUAAACUUCUUUUGCUCUGAACAAGGCAUGCUAAUGGGUGUGUUGAGUGUAGGGGUUGAUUAGCGCCGGCUAACUACGUGCCAGCAGCCGCGGUAAUACGUAGGGCGCGAGCGUUGUCCGGAAUUAUUGGGCGUAAAGGGCUUGUAGGUGGCUGGUUGCGUCUGUCGUGAAAGCUCAUGGCUUAACUGUGGGUUUGCUGUGGGUACGGACUGGCUUGAGUGCAGUCGGGGAGGCUGGAAUGCCUGGUGUAGCGGUGGGAUGCGCAGUUAUCAGGAGGAAUACCGGUGGCGAAGGCGGGUCUCUGGGCUGUUACUGACACUGAGGAGCGAAAGAAUGGGGAGCGAGCAGG
rnacentral:rRNA from 1 species